rnacentral:rRNA from 1 species
CUUUCUUUGCUGGCGACCGGCGCACGGGUGAGUAACACGUAUCCAACCUGCCCUUUACUCGGGGAUAGCCUUUCGAAAGAAAGAUUAAUACCCGAUGGUAUAAUAAAGCCGCAUGGUUUAAUUAUUAAAGAAUUUCGGUUAUCGAUGGGGAUGCGUUCCAUUAGGCAGUUGGUGAGGUAACGGCUCACCAAACCUUCGAUGGAUAGGGGUUCUGAGAGGAAGGUCCCCCACAUUGGAACUGAGACACGGUCCAA